AAGCUUGCUUUCUUUGCUGGCGACCGGCGCACGGGUGAGUAACACGUAUCCAACCUGCCCUUUACUCGGGGAUAGCCUUUCGAAAGAAAGAUUAAUACCCGAUAGCAUAAUGAUUCCGCAUGGUUUCAUUAUUAAAGGAUUCCGGUAAAGGAUGGGGAUGCGUUCCAUUAGGUUGUUGGUGAGGUAACGGCUCACCAAGCCUUCGAU
rnacentral:rRNA from 1 species